AAAUAGAGUUAUACUCAUACUAGGAGACCUGUGGAAGCUAGGAGAAGUCUUUGGAACGUCCAUGAAGCAUCUAGAAGUCUCAAGAAGAUCAUUACCAAAUUGGACACAAGUUGUUCUUUAAAAAUCAAAUCCAUUACAGAUUCGGAAAACUGCCAGUGCAGAUCAGUCAACUUCAACAGAGUGUCAAAAAUCGGUCAGAGCUCAGAAAAUUAUGAUCUUUAUAUGUUUGGAAAGCUACGGAUGUCUAGUUUCCAGAAGUUUUUACAGCUCAUCAAUAUCUAUUUUCUAGAAGAAGUUAUGACUGUUUUAGUGCACUGAGGUCAAAUCUGCCGGAAAUCUGUUUUGUGUCAAAGAAGUUCUAACUCAAUUUGAUUUCUACAACCUAAAACAGAUAUUUUGGGAGUUCUAAAUCAAAUUGAUUUAUACUUGCUUGUGUAAUAUUCCUAUUGGUCGAAUUAUGAAGAGUAAUCAUGACACCAAGGCUAUAAAUAAAGAGAUGAGGGUGACCAAAAUAGAAAAAUCAGAAUAUACAUCUCUUCCUUCAUCCAUCUCAUCUUCUUUGUCUCUCCAUCUCCUCUCCAUUUUCUUUCCAUUCUCUAGUCUUCUAGUUCUACAUUUUCAAGCAAAGAGGAGAAGAAGAAGAAGCCAUGCAAUACAUCAAUUUCCUAGCCGCCAUCCACCCUUGUGUCGUCCCUAGAAGAUUGCUUGCUUUCAAGGAUCUUCAAGUUCUUCGUCUCAAUGCUUUAUCAUUCAUAUUUCAAGGUGUAUUAUAUCCUUUCUCUUGUUUUCUUUGUUUGAUUUUGUAAGACUAUGAAUUCUAGUUAACAAAUAAUGUUAAGGGCAAAGUUUAAAGCCCGUUUAUAUGUUUUGAAAUAAAGUUGUGAUUUCUAUAUGUUGAUUUAUAUGUUGCUUAUGUGAGAUUGAUCAAUUGAUUUUGUUUUAUGGAAAACUUUUAUAUGUUUUUGUUCUUUGGUGCGCAACUUAGAAUGAUUGCAUAUAAUUGGAGCUAGUAAUUAGGUUCAUGCUUUGUGACCCUAAUCCGAAUAAGUAGUAAAGGCUUUGGACAAAAGUUGAAAUCAAUUGGUUUGUGUUAUUGAAUAGACAUGCUUUGUGUACUAGGAUUAAUACAAUUAUUGACUAAACUUUCACUUGCUCUUAAUGAUUUGAAACUUGAGUUUGCAUGGUUGCUUUGAUUGUGUGAAACCUGUUUUCAAAAUAUAUUGGUUAGGUGCUUUGCUUGAUCAAUUGUGUAAAGGGAAGUAAAAUAAGGGACAUUGGUUGCUUUGAUCUUUGUUUCUUGGUUGAUAUAUUCUCGUCUCAUAGAUAACCAACUAUUAGAAUUGUAACCGGAUUUCUUGCAUAUGGAUGUAGUUUUGAUCUUUGUUCCUUACGUUCCACCCUUGUAAAUGUGUUUUUACAUUCUCUUUAUUUUUAAUUUUAAAUCUGAUUCUAUAAUCUUAAACCCCCCCCCCCCCCUUAUUUGUGUUCACUUGUAUAUAUUUUCUUUUCUUUCUAUUCUUUUUGCAAAUAAUACUUUAUUAUUUUAAUUCUUUAUUUGUUUACACAAUUACAGGUGUACCCUCAUUCCCCGGAUAGAACGAUCCCUACUUUCUUUAUACUACAUUUGACAACAGGGUUAAAUUGCGUGCUACUUUGAGCGUGUCAGGAAUUUUAGUUCAAAACAGGGGUUUCGGACUUAAAUCAAAUAUGAAUCGUUACUGAGUGGAAACCGUAUGUAAAUAGGUACUUGACGAAGUAUUUUGGACAGUUAUUUGGCGGAUUGGCUGCUUUGUUCUUUGUUGAAGACGCAGCGAGAGUUUCGAGGGGUUAAUUCUGCAGGUCAGGGCAAUCGUGGCUGAAGCUGAGGUAGCUUGUUGGCAGCAGAACGGGUAGGAAGAAAAUUUUGUUGGCUUUGCCAGUGUAUGACUUCCGCUAUGUAGUAAGCUCUGAGGAGCAUUUACGUUUUAUUUUGUGAUGGCAAUUUAAUUCGUAAGUUGUGUAAUAUAUAACUCUGUGGAGCAAGUGUAUAUUAACUUGGAGGGUUCAGGGCAUCAGUAUGUACUUGAUUUAAGGGAAAGAUGUUCCAGGUAUUUUAUAUUGAUGACUGAACGAUCGCGCAUGUAUAAUUAUGGGAUUAUAUAUCGAUUUUUAUUUGUGUAAAAAUCAGGGGCAUGACAUUUCGGGAUCGACACUGUGCUAUAUGUGGAAGCGUGUGAGCCUUCGGUCUCCAAGAGGCAAACCUUUAACUGUGAUCCUCGAAUUUCGUCAAAUCGUGACGGAAGCGCUUGUUGAAGAUCGUUAUCAAGGCUAAUCGUCGGUUCAAUAAUCUAGUGUCCAAAGGCUUGUUGGCACGUAGUUGUUGCGGGAAAGGCAACAUAAUUCGAUGUUGUUAACAUGACGCAUACCACGUGUGGUUGGUAGGUGUACUUCGCCUUCGAGUUCGUGGAGUGGAUGCAUUAGCCAAAACGGCGGUCAUAAACAAAUACUUAACGAACUCGAGUACACUACGAGGUAAUUCUUAAAGUGUCGCCGCAUGGAAAUCCGUGGAAUAACUUUUGGAAAUCGAUUGUAAGGUUCCGUGUGUAUUCCUUGUAAAGCGUGAUUAGGGAAGAUGGAUGCUCAACUAGUUCUGCAUGUGUAUGUCCUUCCGAGGAUAGUGGCUUCUUCCACAGUGAACUGCGAGUUAUAUGUUAGUGAACGACCGAUGAACUCUUAACAGUGGGUGUAUUCUAUUAGAUAAUAAUGGUCGUCAAAGCUACGGAUCGUAGCGACAACGUCGACUUGUUCUUCAUAGUUGACGUGGGUCCCGCGUGAGGAACAUAAUUUUACCUACGGGUAGUUGUAUUCGACUAUGAGUACUUAAGUAUGUCUUUUGACAAAACUGCAAUUCCCGGAACAUUGUACUUGUAAUGAGCGGGGAUCGGAUGAAGACGUGAGUCGGCUAUGAGUUGCCAGCUGUGGUAGUAUUGUGUUGGGGUAACAAGUUUAGUAGUUACCCAAUCUUAUUUGGUUUAAACACGAAUUGUCAAUGAAAAUGACAAGUAUGGUAUUGUUGUGAAGAGAGUAAUGAGAUUGUUAAUUACUCA